rnacentral:snRNA from 1 species
GUGCUCGCUUCGGCAGUACGUACACUAAAAUUGAAACUAUACAGAGAAGAAUAGCAUGGCCCUGCACAAGGAUGACACGCAAAUAAACUGUUGGAUUCAGUUUAAU